ACUGAAUAUAAUUUACUCAAUAGUUUGAGUUGAACAUACCGAAAUAAAUGACUAAAACUCCAACAAUUAAUUUUGUCUGAAAUUUACAGUUAUAUUUAAGUUUUUCACUAAAAUAGGCUAAUUUAGUUUUUGACUAACCAAUUAUUAAUUUAAAAUACACUUAGCUAAUAUUUGUGAAAUUUCCAUCUCAAUAUUUGAGACUGGAUAAUUAAACUGAUCUGUCUCAAGAACCACAAAUAUUUCUAAAAUAAAAUCAAUAUUAUUAUUUAACACGCAUAAGAAAUUAAUUAAGUUUACUCAAUUAAAAUGUAUUUUACUGUCUAUGAUUACAACAACGCACCCCUCCCCACCCUCUGACGUGACGACAACUCAACGGUUGAACUUGAGUGAGCGCUGUUUGAACUUGCGGUUGCGCGCUGUUUGAACUCUCCCAGUCCAGAAAAGAACAGAUCUCUUCUCCUCUUCUCUUCUCAUCGGCGCAGAAUUGGAGCAUUUCCACCUGACAUUAAGGUUAUGGAGUCAGUCGCGUCGCAGCAUUUUUCGGCUGUGAGUGACGCAGGACGGCGGUCUAAAUUUAGAAGUUUCCCCGCAGAGGCGAGUCCAUCUCCGGCAUGGGAACCAGCGCUGACCCGGUGAAUACUGGAUAACAGACCGGUUAUUACACUUGAAUUACUUUAAUGUUUAGGCCUAAAUGUUUAAUUUUUACAUCGAAAAUGUUUCUUACAUGAGUUUAGAUGUAGUCAAUAUUGUACAACUUAUGUGUUAAAAAUAGAAUAAAAUAUGUUUGCUGUAAUGUUAGGAUAUUAAUUGACAAUAAAGGCCGUGUCAUGUA